UAGGUCAUAUCCCAAAUCCCCAGCCUUAUUUCUCCACAAUUUCAACAGGUUCACCUUUGUAGUUUGAAAAUCCCCAAACCAUCGAAACCCUAAUUCUGGAAAAGUGUUGUUUCCUUCACCAAAAGGUCAAGAAGGUCAAGCUCACCGUCCUCUAGUUCUACAAGGUCGACGACUCCGGCAAGGUGCAGAAGCUGAGGAAGGAGUGAAAGAGAAGGCAGAGGGAGAGCAUUUUUCUGGAUUAAACCCUGAAUGUUUAGAAACUUAACAGAGGGCCAGGAAUAGAGAAGGAACAACUCGAUUAUGUUGUUCUUCGCCAAUUAACAUAAAGGUUAUUGACUUUUUUUUACCCCCUUUUAUACUUUUGUUUAUUAACAAACUUUUGAUGUGGAAAUUGUGGUUUCUAACAUUACUUAGUUUCUUUGCUUGGCAAGUACAAAGCUGGUUGGAGCUUACGUUGGAGCUUUUAUUUAAAAGGUAAUAGACUAAUAGUACUUGAGCUGCAUGUGAAUGAUGAAUACUAUGGGUAGAUGAAUGCUAUGUGAAUGAUGAAUACUAUGAACUGUUUGAUGUAUGCUGGAAUGAUUAAUGGUGCUGUGAUGCUGCCUCUUCCCAAACCACACUCCUUGAAGGAAGUCAGCCAAUGGAGGGGGUUGAGUUUGGCAGUGUUGAUAGUGGACAAGCUGAAAUUUUGGCUGAUUUAAUGCAAGAAAGAAUGGAUGAACAAAAUGAGAUGAUAUUGAAUGAGGUUGACAAAUACUUGGCUGAUUGAUAUGUUAAUCCAUUGACACCGGGUUUCGAUGUGAUAGCUUGGUGGAAAGUUAGUGCAAAUGCAUAUCCGAUACUUUCAAAGCUUGCAAAGAUGUAUUUUCCAUCCCUUGCAGCACCGUUGCAAGUGAAAAUGCCUUCAGUUUGGGGAAAAGGGUGGUACAUCCUUAUAAGAGUUCCCUAACACCUAAAAUGGUGGAGUGUUUGGUCUGCUCAAGUGAUUGGCUGAGGGCUACAACACCUAACUUCUACAAGGAACCAACUAUGGCUGAGCUGGAGCAGUAUUGAGAGCUAGAAGCAAUGGAGAGAGAAACUGCUGGACUUAGAUUGGAUGAACCAAGCUCUUCUAUGACCACUGCUGCAACAUAAAGAAGAUGCACAGUUCAGUUUUCUGCCGGUGCAAAGGUUUUGCAGCAUCCCCAUAAUGGAGAAGAUGAGGUGAUGGCUGAUUGGAACAUUAAAGCAACCUAACUUGUGUUUUUUUUUUCUUUUCAGUUUUAUGUGUAAUGGGACAAUGCGUAUUUUUCAGUUAAUUGUUGGUCUUGUAAUU